AGCCACAUCACGUUGAUACAUCGGUUCCCGUACGAUCGCCGAAGUUAAGCAAUGUCGAGCCUGGUCAGUAACUAGAUGAGUCACUGCUUGGGAAUACCAGGUUUUGUAAU